rnacentral:rRNA from 1 species
AACGAACGCUGGCGGCAUGCCUAACACAUGCAAGUCGAACGAUGCCUUCGGGCAUAGUGGCGCACGGGUGCGUAACGCGUGGGAAUCUGCCUUUCGGUUCGGAAUAACUCAGGGAAACUUGAGCUAAUACCGGAUAACGUCGCAAGACCAAAGAUUUAUCACCGAAAGAUGAGCCCGCGUAGGAUUAGCUAGUUGGUGAGGUAAAGGCUCACCAAGGCGACGAUCCUUAGCUGGUCUGAGAGGAUGAUCAGCCACACUGGGACUGAGACACGGCCCAGACUACUACGGGAGGCAGCAGUGAGGAAUAUUGGAAAGUGGGCGAAAGCCUGAUACAGCAAUGCCGCGUGAGUGGUGAAGGCCUUAAGGUUGUAAAGCUCUUUUACCCGGGGAGAUAAUGCCGGUACCGGGAGAAUAAGCCCCGGCUAACUCCGUG